AGCGCAGGUGGUUGUAUAAGUCUGAAGUAAAAGGCAGUGGCUCAACUAUUGUGUGCUUUGGAAACUGUACAACUUGAGUGCAGAAGGGGAGAGUGGAAUUCCAUGUGUAGCGGUGAAAUGCGUAGAUAUAUGGAGGAACACCAGUGGCGAAGGCGACUGUCUGGUCUGUAACUGACACUGAGGCGCGAAAGCGUGGGAGCAAACA
rnacentral:rRNA from 1 species